rnacentral:rRNA from 1 species
CGCGGCCUAUCAGCUUGUUGGUGGGGUGAUGGCCUACCAAGGCUUUGACGGGUAGCCGGCCUGAGAGGGCGACCGGCCACACUGGGACUGAGACACGGCCCAGACUCCUACGGGAGGCAGCAGUGGGGAAUAUUGCGCAAUGGGCGGAAGCCUGACGCAGCGACGCCGCGUGAGGGAUGACGGCCUUCGGGUUGUAAACCUCUUUCGGUAGGGACGAAGCGCAAGUGACGGUACCUACAGAAGAAGCGCCGGCCAACUACGUGCCAGCAGCCGCGGUAAGACGUAGGGCGCAAGCGUUGUCCGGAUUUAUUGGGCAUAAAGAGCUCGUAGGCGGCGUGUCGCGUCGUCCGUGAAAACUUCAGGCUUAACCUGGAGCGUGCGGUCGAUACGGGCAUGCUAGAGGCAGGUAGGGGAGAUCGGAAUUCCUGGUGUAGCGGUGAAAUGCGCAGAUAUCAGGAGGAACACCGGUGGCGAAGGCGGAUCUCUGGGCCUGUACUGACGCUGAGGAGCGAAAGCGUGGGGAGCGAACAGGAUUAGAUACCCUGGUAGUCCACGCUGUAAACGUUGGGCGCUAGGUGUGGGGGGCUUCAUUGUUCUCCGUGCCGUAGCUAACGCAUUAAGCGCCCCGCCUGGGGAGUACGG